UACGAAGGGGGCUAGCGUUGCUCGGAAUCACUGGGCGUAAGGCGCACGUAGGCGGGUCUUUAAGUCAGGGGGGAAAUCCUGGAGCUCAACUCCAGAACUGCCUUUGAUACUGAGGAUCUUGAGUUCGGGAGAGGUGAGUGGAACUGCGAGUGUAGAGGUGAAAUUCGUAGAUAUUCGCAAGAACACCAGUGGCGAAGGCGGCUUUCUGGUCUGUAACUGACGCUGAGGCGCGAAAGCGUGGGGAGCAAACAGG
rnacentral:rRNA from 1 species